UACGGAGGGUGCAAGCGUUGCUCGGAAUUAUUGGGCGUAAAGGGUAGGUAGGUGGUCUCGUUUGUCUGAGGUGAAAGCCUUGAGCUUAACUCAAGAAGUGCCUUAGAAACGGCGAGACUAGAGGUCUGGAGAGGGUCGUGGAAUUCCCGGUGUAGCGGUGAAAUGCGUAGAGAUCGGGAGGAACACCAGAGGCGAAAGCGGCGACCUGGACAGAUACUGACACUCAACUACGGAAGCGUGGGGAGCAAACAGG
rnacentral:rRNA from 1 species